CACGUAGGGGGCAAGCGUUGUCCGGAUUUAUUGGGCGUAAAGAGCUCGUAGGCGGCUUAGUAAGUCGGGUGUGAAACCUCCAGGCUCAACCUGGAGACGCCACCCGAUACUGCUGUGGCUAGAGUCCGGUAGGGGAGCGUGGAAUUCCUGGUGUAGCGGUGAAAUGCGUAGAUAUCGAGAGGAACAUCUGCGGCGAAGGCGGGUAGCUGGGCCGACACUGACGCCGAGGCGCGAAAGCCAGGGGAGCGAACGGG
rnacentral:rRNA from 1 species